GCCCGCCUAGCUCAAUCGGAUAGAGCGUCAGACUCUUAUGAAGAGCAAGGGCAUCUGAAGGCUGCGAGUUCGACCCUCGCGGUGGGCU
rfam:Lentinula edodes NBRC 111202 DNA, contig: scaffold1072.